rnacentral:rRNA from 1 species
UACGAAGGGGGCUAGCGUUGCUCGGAAUUACUGGGCGUAAAGGGCGCGUAGGCGGAUAUUUAAGUCGGGGGUGAAAGCCCAGGGCUCAACCCUGGAACAGCCUUCGAUACUGGAUAUCUUGAGUACGGGAGAGGUGAGUGGAACUCCGAGUGUAGAGGUGAAAUUCGUAGAUAUUCGGAAGAACACCAGUGGCGAAGGCGACUCACUGGCCCGUUACUGACGCUGAGGCGCGAAAGCGUGGGGAGCAAACAGG